rnacentral:lncRNA from 1 species
UCGAACCAGCCUCAUCUGUAAACGUGGUUCUCAACUCAAUAUACCCCCUGACCUCCACCUGGUCACCAGCGAACCCAUACAGGCACCCUCCAUAGGGCCUUAGCUGGUCAAGGGGCAACUCCAGCUGCGUGAAAGUCGGCCAGAACAUCACGUCUGCCGAACUUCCCUGGUCCACCAGAACUCUGUGGACCUUCCUUCCCGCCGUAACCAACGAAAUGACUAUGGGAUCGUUGUCAUGGGGCACAACGUCC